rnacentral:rRNA from 1 species
GACAGGCAUAUAUUAGCAUAAAGACUCGUCUUUAGCGCUAAUUGUUAAAUAUGCUAGUCCUUUCAUGAUUAUGUGAUAGGUGGUGCAUGGCCGUUCUUAGUUCGUGGAGUGAUCUGUCUGCUUAAUUGCGUUUCACUAAGGGCCCAUAAAUUCAAGGUAUGUUAGCAAAUGCUGCUCUAUUGACCCCUAAUAGGCUUAACUGUCUUUAGCGCGUGUCUCUACGAGUUCUUUAAAGCACUGCGCAUGCUGUUGGGUCCUGAAAGCAACGAACGUGACCGCAACGUCUUGUUGCCUCUCUAUAAUACCUUCUUAUUUUUAAUAAGAGUAUUUACCUGAGGCUAUUUUAAAACUAGACGGACCGCUGUUUCUUUCUUAAACCAGAGGAAGGUUGCGGCAAUAACAGGUCUGUGAUGCCCUUAGAUGUUCCGG